rnacentral:rRNA from 1 species
GAUGAACGCUGGCGGCGUGCCUAAUACAUGCAAGUCGAGCGAACAGAUGAGGAGCUUGCUCCUCUGACGUUAGCGGCGGACGGGUGAGUAACACGUGGAUAACCUACCUAUAAGACUGGGAUAACUUCGGGAAACCGGAACUAAUACCGGAUAAUAUAUUGAACCGCAUGGUUCAAUAGUGAAAGACGGUUUUGCUGUCACUUAUAGAUGGAUCCGCGCCGCAUUAGCUAGUUGGUAAGGUAACGGCUUACCAAGGCAACGAUGCGUAGCCGACCUGAGAGGGUGAUCGGCCACACUGGAACUGAGACACGGUCCAGACUCCUACGGGAGGCAGCAGUAGGGAAUCUUCCGCAAUGGGCGAAAGCCUGACGGAGCAACGCCGCGUGAGUGAUGAAGGUCUUCGGAUCGUAAAACUCUGUUAUUAGGGAAGAACAAAUGUGUAAGUAACUAUGCACGUCUUGACGGUACCUAAUCAGAAAGCCACGGCUAACUACGU